AAAAUAUAUAUUUCCCUCCACUGCUAGACUUUAGCUAAAUUGCCAUUUAUUUCGUUUAGGGUUACAACUUUUGUCUUCUUCUUGCAAAAGGAUUUCUGAAAAAUGGAAAGAAUAACGUGAGCUCCGAUUAAUCGCAGUAUAUUUCUUCAACAAGAUCCGGUCUUCUUCUUCUUCAUAGUGAGUUUUUUCUCGGAUUGGAGACUCUUUUGCCUUCCAAAUCUCAUCAAAAUCAGCUCGUGAUCAUGGAAGCUUGUGGCUAGCUCGUGCUCGUCCCAGUGUCGCUGCACCAAAGAAAAUAAUUCCUUUUCCUUGAAUUUUUUUUCCAGUUUUCGGGGUUAUAGUUUAAACUUUGAAUAUUCUUCUAUAUGUUCUAGUUCCUUAGCUGAAAUAUUUAUUAAUUCAUCGAUUUAUGUGACUCAAUCUAAGUAUGUUAAAAUCUUAAUCAUUUAGUUUGCUUUCUAUAUUAGUUGAUGCAUUUUCUAGUUCUCAUUUCUGUUCCUUAGGGUGAUUUCUAUUCCUGUUUGAAUUUCCUUCAAUAUUAAGUGUAUUUCUUAAAUUAAUGUGUCUAAAUUUGUUUAUGGUUUGAAUCAUAUACUCCUUAUUUGAUUAUUGCAGAUAUCGGUCUUGUUCUCUAUAAUGUUACGGUUUGUAUGUUAAUGGAUGUAAACAUCCAUUAUGACUAGUUGCUAUUUCAAAAGACCGGAUAUUUUGAUUUUUCUGAAUUAGUUUCCGAAUUGGGCCUUUAUUUUAAUAUCCAAGUUAACCUUGUUUUUUAGUUCAUACCGUACAUUUUUCUCAUUUGUGAAAGUCAGAUCUUGUUUUAAGCCUAGAGAACUCUUGAUUUUAGCUUCUGCAUAAAAAUCCUUUAAGAUAUAAAUGGGCUGGUGUUUUCUGUGUCUUUGUUUGUUGUGAAUAGUGUCAGCACUUUGUCUAAAUCCGCUUGGUUUGAUAUCUUUUGCAUAUGUACGUUUGGGGCUUAUUAUAAGUAGAAUUUAAAAUUUAUUCUCUUGUCAAUUAAAUCUGUUGGCCUCGCUAUGUGUUUCCAGCAGGGUGAGUUAUUUUUUUUUGUCAACAAGCAUUCUGGGUUGGUUCUUCUUAAGGUAAUUUAUUUAAGUGUCAUUGCUUCUGAUCGAAUUUUCGAGUGAUUGGUUUAGUAUGUAUUUGGUUAGAGUUCAGUCGUUUGUGCUGACCAAAUUAUGAUAUCUGAUGGUUUAUGAAUCUUGUUAUUAUUUUCUCUCGAAUCGGUCAGUCCUACACUUCUUACAUGCGAGAUGAUUAAUUGUGUAACUUUAGUUUGAUUUCAUUUCUUAUUCCAUAUUGUGACAGCCAUAUACCUUAUAUAAAGUCCUUGGAAAUUGCAUAUACAGAUUUCUAAAGUUUUGAAUUCGCUAGACCCUUCUUUGUUUAGCUUCUGAUGGUUUUUCUCUUAAAAUUGACAUUUUAUAUCUAGUUGAAACUAUCUGAUAUCAUAUUCUAGAAUCUUUCUCAUUUACUGGUGCUAGGUUCUAGAUGUUUGAUUUACUUCAAAGUAGCAUUUGAUGUAGAUAAAGGCUAGCAUUUCUUCUUCUACUAGUCCAUUACUUGCUGACACUAUUAGAAGCAUUGGAUGUAGUACCCUUAAAGUUAAGUUAGGAUGCUUAUUCAAAAAUAAUGUUCAAUCUCCAUUUACUGCCUCAUUCUUGUUUAAUGUUGCAAGACUGAUCACUUUAACUCCUAAUUUAUCAGGUCUAAGAAUUAAUUUUUAUACUUUUCUAUUAAUACCAUCUGCUAAAAUGGCAAGACUACUGAAACCAAAACGAGGGAUAACCUAUGUUUAGUGCGCACGUAGCCAUUUAGAUAGUAUAAAUUUUCAAAAACUUGGAGUAGAUCCACAUGAUUUACUUCUAAAAAGAAUAUUUAUGUAUUAUUGAACUUUCUUUAUGCUCAUUUGCUAUCGUCACUUUUAUUGUUUUUAUUGUUCUACUGAUAACAAAAUGUGUUUUUAAGUUCUUGGUGAUUAUUUGUUCAGAUUUGAAUAGUCAUGAGUCAACAAGAGCCUUCGAAAAGAAACAAAAGAGCAAAAAAGAACAUCGCUAAACCUGGAUCAUUAUCUUUCUUGGCAAAUAAAAAACAACGAUUAUUGACAACAAAUGAAAUCGUUCAAGCUAUAGAGUGAGGAAAGGACAUCUUCUAAACUUAAUUGCAGAACAACAUCCAGGCGUAGCACCAUAAUCUCAAGCAAGUGAACAAUCUGAAGAAAUUGGGCAAUCUUUAGAGGAAAAACCUCCAGAGGAACAGCCCCUAGAAGAGCAAGUGAAAAUUAAUUUAUCAUUCCUCCAACAAAUGAACAAUCUGAAGAACAAAGUAACAUAUAAUCUUGCAAACUUAUUGAAUUCAUCCAUGAUUUCUAAUUUUUCGUAUUUUGUUAAAGUUGAAGGCCUUCCAACUCAAAACACAAGAGGCAAAACACAAAUGCAUAAUGUACAUAACCGACAUGAGCACAAAUUGAUCACACUGAAUUGGUUAAAUCAACCUGUUGGUCCUACUGAUAAAUUAUUAACAGAGUUAAGUAGCUUCCUAGGCACAUUGGCAAGAACUGCAACACUUUGCCCAUUUGAUAUGUUUGAUUGGAGGAACAUGGACACCAAAAAAGAUUUAUGUGAUUAAAAGAAGGAGAAAUAUAAUAUUUCUGAAGCUCCGAAAAAAAAUGUACUUUGGUAACAAUUUGGAUGCUUGGAGAAGGCAUAGAAGUGAUCUGAAGAUCAAUUAUUAUGACCUGUAUGACAGUGAUGAAGUUCGAACGAAAAAAAAUCCCGGUCAUAUUCCAGAAUGUCAGUUUAGUGAGCUCCUCAAAUAAUUGAAGUCUUGGAAAUUCAAGUUUUGCAGAAAAUGUCUGAAACAAAUACUAAGAAUCGAAAAAAGCUGAUGAACCCACACACCGCUGGUAAAAAGAGUUUUGCUUUAGUCCGUAACAAAUUAGAAAAAGAAAAGGAUACUGUAUCAGCUAAAGAGAUCUUCGUGGUCACAAGAACAAAAAAACCGGGCAUUUGUACAAGACCUCGAAUGAAAACACAACUAGUAAAAUUUUGUUGGAUAUGCUCUGUUAGGCUGAAAUGGAAGCGAUUGAAACACAAAUGGACACAAAUGAUCAGUUUGUUGAUGCAUUUUCAGCCGUUAUGGGUCAUGAACAUCAGGGACGUCUAAUACUGUAUGGAGUGGGGGUUUCAAAGAAUGCAUUGAAAAGAAAACCUGGAAAACCUGACAAUUUUUUAAAGGCCACAGAUGAUGUAGUGCAACAAAUGCAUGACAGAAGGCAAAAAACGGAGAAAGAGAUGGAGGAACAAAAGAAAACUAUGCGACAAGAAGCUAUCACAAAUGUAAUUGCACAACUUCAAAAUGCAGGAUUAAUUGAUCAGAACAUACUAGCUACAUUAUGUGUUCGUCCUCCAAGAGAAAUUAGUACUUCCUCACAAACGGCUUUUUAAGGUGAUAAAAUUGAAGGAGAUGAAAGCAGUACUGAAGACUUGACUUAGGAGUUAACUGGAUUGAUGUUAAUUAACUUUAAUCAUCUAUGUUCUACAAAUAUUUUGAUUUUGAUGAAUAUUGAAAAUUGUGGUGUGUUUCAUCCUUUUUGAACAUUGAAAAAAUAUUUGUAUAUUUUGUUAUUAUUAAUAUUACUAACCACUUUGAUCUCU